rnacentral:rRNA from 1 species
CAGCAGCCGCGGUAAAACAGAGGGUGCAAGCGUUAAUCGGAAUUACUGGGCGUAAAGCGCGCGUAGGUGGUUUGUUAAGUUGGAUGUGAAAUCCCCGGGCUCAACCUGGGAACUGCAUCCAAAACUGGCAAGCUAGAGUAUGGUAGAGGGUGGUGGAAUUUCCUGUGUAGCGGUGAAAUGCGUAGAUAUAGGAAGGAACACCAGUGGCGAAGGCGACCACCUGGACUGAUACUGACACUGAGGUGCGAAAGCGUGGGGAGCAAACAGGAUUAGAUACCCGCGUAGUCCCUGUCUCUUAUAU